GACGAACGCUGGCGGCGUGCUUAACACAUGCAAGUCGAACGGAAAGGCCCUGCUUUUGUGGGUGCUCGGGUGGCGAACGGGGGAGGAACACGUGAGUAACCUGCCCUUGACUUUGGGAUAACUUCAGGAAACUGGGGGUAAUAACGGAUAGGAGCUCCUUGUGCCUGGUGGGGGUUGGAAAGUUUCGGCGGUUGGGGAUGGACUCGAGGCUUAUCAGCUUGUUGGUGGGGUAGUGGCUUACCAAGGCUUUGACGGGUAGCCGGCCUGAGAGGGUGACCGGCCACAUUGGGACUGAGAUACGGCCCAGACUCCUACGGGAGGCAGCAGUGGGGAAUAUUGCACAAUGGGCGGAAGCCUGAUGCAGCAACGCCGCGUGCGGGAUGACGGCCUUCGGGUUGUAAACCGCUUUCGACUGUGACGAAGCGUGAGUGACGGUAAUGGGUAAAGAAGCACCGGCUAACUACGUG
rnacentral:rRNA from 1 species